rnacentral:misc_RNA from 1 species
CCGUUUAUCUGCGAGGUCAGAGAAGGCUGGCUGCGUUCAGUGGUGCUGUUGAAAAACACGAUGAAAAUGGCGUGGCAACCGCAAGAGGAAGGACUUCGACAAAUCUUGACGCUCCUCAAGGAGUCUCAGAGCCCGGAUACGGCUACGCAGCGAGCCGUUCAAGAAAAAUUGGAAGAAUUAAACAAAUUUCCUGACUUUAAUAAUUACCUUAUUUUUGUUUUAACAAAACUCACAUCAGAGGAUGAACCAACAAGGUCUCUAAGUGGAUUGAUUUUGAAAAAUAACGUUAAAGCUCAUUUUUAUAAAUUUUUACCAGAGGUUACAAAUUUCAUCAAGCAAGAAUGUUUAUCAGCAGUUGGAGAUCCAUCACCUCUAAUUCGUGCAACUGUUGGUAUUUUAAUAACUACCAUUGCAUCCAAAGGUGAAUUAACCAGAUGGCCAGAAUUAUUACCUGCACUUUGUCAAAUGUUAGAUUCACAAGAUUAUAAUGUGUGUGAAGGUGCCUUUGGUGCUCUUCAAAAGAUUUGUGAAGAUUCUUCAGAAAUAUUGGACUCUGAUGCACUCAAUCGACCAUUAAAUGUUUUAAUUCCAAAGUUCCUGCAAUUUUUUAGACAUUCAAGCCCUAAAAUUAGAUCACAUGCUAUUGCCUGUGUUAAUCAGUUUAUUGUUAAUCGUACGCAGGCUUUAAUGAUUCAUAUAGAUAGUUUUUUGGAGAAUCUCUUCCAUUUAGCUAAUGAUGAUGAUUCUGAUGUUAGAAAACAUGUUUGCAGAGCUUUGGUAAUGUUGCUUGAAGUACGAAUGGAUAGAUUAAUACCACAUAUGCAUAACAUAAUAGAAUAUAUGUUAAUGAGGACUCAAGAUCUUGAUGAAGGAGUUGCUUUAGAAGCCUGUGAAUUUUGGCUUUCAUUAGCUGAGCAACCAAUUUGUAAAGAAGCACUUGCACCACAUUUACCCCGUUUAGUACCUAUAUUGGUAAGAGGCAUGAAAUAUUCGGAAAUUGAUAUAAUACUUCUAAAAGGAGAUGUAGAAGAAGAUGAAAUGAUCCCAGAUAGAGAAGAAGAUAUUAGACCAAGAUUUCCAAAAUCAAAAACACAUCAUACACAUCACGCUAAUAUGAAUAAGCAUACAAACGAAAACGGAGGUUGUGAUGAAGAUGAUACAGAUGCUGAAGAUGGAUGUGAUGAUGAUUCAACACUUAGUGAUUGGAAUUUAAGGAAAUGCUCUGCUGCUGCUUUAGAUAUGUUAGCAAACGUAUUUAGAGAAGAAUUAUUACCAGUUUUAGUACCAAUUUUAAAAGAAACACUUUUCCAUCAAGAUUGGGAAAUCAAAGAAUCUGGAAUAUUAGCAUUGGGAGCUAUAGCAGAAGGUUGUAUGAGUGGAAUGAUUCCACAUUUAUCAGAAUUAAUUCCAUAUUUAAUUAGUUGCUUAAGUGAUAAAAAAGCACUAGUACGCGCUAUUACUUGCUGGACAUUAAGUCGAUAUGCACAUUGGGUUUGUGCGCAACCUCAUGACACUCAUUUGAAACCUUUGAUGACAGAAUUACUCAAAAGAGUACUUGAUGGCAAUAAACGCGUUCAGGAAGCCGCAUGUUCUGCUUUUGCAACAUUAGAAGAGGAAGCAUGCACAGAAUUAGUCCCUUAUCUUGGAUUUAUUCUUGAGACACUUGUUUUUGCUUUUGGAAAAUAUCAACAUAAAAAUCUUUUAAUAUUGUACGAUGCAAUUGGUACACUUGCUGAUUCAGUAGGACAUCAUCUUAACAAACCAGAUUAUAUUAACCUUCUUAUGCCACCACUUAUUAAUAAAUGGAAUGUAUUGAAAGACGAAGAUAAAGAUCUCUUUCCACUAUUAGAAUGUCUUUCUUCAGUUGCAACUGCUUUACGAUCUGGUUUCCUUCCUUACUGUGAACCCGUAUAUAGACGGUGUGUAUCUCUUGUAGAGCAGACAUUAAAUCAACAUAUAGCAAAUACACAAAGCCCAGAACAAUUUGAAGCCCCUGACAAAGAUUUUAUGAUUGUUGCAUUAGACCUCCUUAGUGGUUUGGCAGAAGGCUUGGAUGGUCAUAUGGAACGUUUAGUAAUGAAUAGCAAUGUUAUGCAAUUAUUAUAUCAAUGUAUGCAAGAUGUUAUGCCUGAAGUUAGACAGAGCAGUUUUGCUUUAUUAGGAGAUCUUACAAAGGCCUGCUUCCAACAUGUUCUCCCAUGUAUACCGGAAUUUAUGCCUAUACUUGGACAAAAUUUAAAUCCUGAAUUUAUAUCUGUAUGUAAUAAUGCAACAUGGGCUAUUGGUGAAAUAGCUAUAAAACUCGGGUCUGAUACAAGUGCAUAUAUUCCAUUAAUUCUGACACAGCUCAUCGACAUAAUCAAUAGACCAAAUACACCAAAAACACUGCUAGAAAAUACAGGUGUACUUCUUUGAGAAGCAUAAGAGAUAAUGAGGAAAAGGAUUCAGCAUUCAGAGGUAUGUGUCAAAUGAUCACUGUAAAUCCAGCAGGAGUUGUGCAAGAUUUUAUCUUCUUUUGCGACGCUGUUGCAUCUUGGGUAACGCCUAGAGAAGAUCUUAAAGGCAUGUUCCAGAAGAUAUUACAUGGAUUUAAAAAUCAAGUUGGUGCGGAAAAUUGGAAACGAUUUUCAGAUCAAUUCCCACCACAGCUCAGUGAACGACUCCAUAAUAUGUAUGGCGUCUGAGCAGCCCCGUCUAAAUAUGAAGGCCGCUUUAAGGGGCAGGCCGAAAGGGGUUGGGCGGGAAACAGAAUAAUGGGUGGACAGGGUGGGUGGGUGAAACCACGGCCUCUUCUCAUCAACAUCGUUGUCGUUAACGUGUUAUGGUCAUCGUCAGGCUCUUGGGGGAAUUAAUAUGCGUUAUUAGAGCUACAGCCAGUAAGCGAUAUAAAUGAAAAAUCGAAAUGAG